ensembl:lncRNA
CGUGCGCUUCCCUGAGAAAUAGCCGUGCAUCUAAAUGUUGGAGCAUAUUUACCUUGUACCUUCCUUAUGCAAAUGCAAUAAUUAACGAUCCAUGCGUUCAGUGUGACUUUCAGCCGAUUAUAAGGUUAUUAUUGGCGAGCGCCAAAAUAAAUGACAGGUGUAUAUUCUGGCGCCCUACUACAGAUAUCGAGGCCAUUAGCACAAAACGGCUUGUGGAUACUACCGAGCCACUGUAUUUGUUAAAACAGAGCGGGUUAAUGCAUGCAGGGCAUUGAGCUGCUGCUGCGGUUCCUUGCCUGGUCAGCAGCCCGACUUCUCGAUGGAGCUGAGCUUGGAGAAUCCAUUCUGAUCGAGGCUGAGCGCGACGGAGUGAUGUGAUGCUCCACCUCCAUAGCAUACAUGGGCUACUGCGGCCCCAAGCUUUGGUACGAAACCCUGAGAGAUGACAUUGUUGAUGCGUUUAUUUACCCAGUAUGUAGUCUAGGUUACUGUAGCCUACAUAACAUUACUGGAUAUGUUGAAUCAAAUAUCAAGGCUAUCAAUCAGAUAGCACAUGAUGUCCCAUGUUUUGUCAUUACACGAUUGUGCAAUACACGUACCUCGAUAUGACAGUAUUUAAUCUAAUGCAUGAUGUUGUAUGCUAAAUAUAGUUAUUCUAUGUAUUCUAUGGUUGUAGAGCUAGUCUGAUAGUGGACUAGGUAUGCUAUUGAAGGAGGUAGCCUGCCUGCCUGGCCUGCUGAUUCCAGGUCAGGUCUAUGGGUGGUAUAGUAGCUAGAGGGGAUCUUUAGGGGAAUUGCAUGGAGAGAGAGAGACAGGGAUUGAGGGAGAGGGUAGUGCACACCAAGAAUGACAAGUAUGUCCUGGAGCCGCAGAAAUGAAGCCCCCAGUGCUGUUUUUUCUAAUUACAGUGGGGCUUAGCAUUACAUCCCCCCUCCCCAGUCAAACACACACACACACACACACUACAGUGAGUGUGCAGUCAUACUAUCUCAGACAGUCAAACACACACACACACACGCUACAGUGAGUGCGCAGUCAUACUAUCUCAGACAUUAGGAGCCGUGCAGGCUACAUAUUCAAACUGUCCCCUUGUUAUUUUGCUUUUUAAAUCUCCCUUGUUGUUUUGCUUUUUAAAUCCCCCUUGUUGUUUUGCUUUUUAAAUCCCCCUUCUUGUUUUGCUUUUUAAAUCUCCCUUGUUGUUUUGCUUUUUAAAUCCCCCUUGUUGUUUUGCUUUUUAAAUCCCCCUCCUUGUUUUGCUUUUUAAAUCUCC